AUUGAACGCUGGCGGCAGGCCUAACACAUGCAAGUCGAGCGGGGUUUUCGGACCUAGCGGCGGACGGGUGAGUAAUGCGUAGGAAGCUACCCGAUAGAGGGGGAUACCAGUUGGAAACGACUGUUAAUACCGCAUAAUGUCUACGGACCAAAGUGUGGGACCUUCGGGCCACAUGCUAUCGGAUGCGCCUACGUGGGAUUAGCUAGUUGGUGAGGUAAUGGCUCACCAAGGCGACGAUCUCUAGCUGGUUUGAGAGGAUGAUCAGUCACACUGGAACUGAGACACGGUCCAGACUCCUACGGGAGGCAGCAGUGGGGAAUUUUGGACAAUGGACGCAAGUCUGAUCCAGCCAUUCCGCGUGCAGGAUGAAGGCCCUCGGGUUGUAAACUGCUUUUGUACGGAACGAAAAGGUCUCUCCUAAUACGAGGGGCUCAUGACGGUACCGUAAGAAUAAGCACCGGCUAACUACGUG
rnacentral:rRNA from 1 species